rnacentral:lncRNA from 1 species
UGGUGUAUUGAGGUUUGUUGUCUGGUUUGUGGCAUCUGGUGUGUGUUCACGGAUGGAUUGAAAAGAGGUUUAUGGAUAGAUAUAUAGCAGAAUGAAAAGAGAGAGUGAUGCAGGAGUUGCAGGGACCCCAACACAUGCAUUAACUGUACAUUUGUACCUUCUUUCCACAUGCAUAGCCCAUCUCCUCUCUCUUUCUUAUACCUUUCA